rnacentral:rRNA from 1 species
GACGAACGCUGGCGGCGUGCUUAACACAUGCAAGUCGAACGGAAAGGCCCUGCUUUUGUGGGGUGCUCGAGUGGCGAACGGGUGAGUAACACGUGAGUAACCUGCCCUUGACUUUGGGAUAACUUCAGGAAACUGGGGCUAAUAACGGAUAGGAGCUCCUGCUGCAUGGUGGGGGUUGGAAAGUUUCGGCGGUUGGGGAUGGACUCGCGGCUGCUCAGCCUGUUGGUGGGGUAGUGGCUUACCAAGGCUUUGACGGGUAGCCGGCCUGAGAGUGUGACCAGCCACAUUGGGACUGAGCUACGGCCCAGACUCCUACGGGAGACAGCAGUGGGGAAUAUUGCACGAUGGGCGGAAGCCUGAUGCAGCAACGCCGCGUGCGGGAUGACGGCCUUCGGUUUGUAAACCGCAUUAGCCUGUGACGAAGCGUGAGUGACGGUAAUAUGUAAAGAAGCACCGGCUAACUACGUG